ensembl:snRNA U6 U6 spliceosomal RNA
GUGCUUGCUUCAGCUGCACAUCUACUAAAAAUGGAAUACUUUCGAGAUUCGCAUGACCCCUGUGCAAGGACGACAUGCAAAUUUGCAGGAUGUUUCAUAUUUUU